GUGCUUGCUUUGGCAGCACAUAUACUAAAAUUGGAACGAUACAGAGAAGAUUAGCAUGGCUGCUGCAUAAGGAUGACAUGCAAAUUCAUGAAAUAUUCCAUAUUUUU